rnacentral:rRNA from 1 species
CAACCAAAGCCGGCGACCGGCGCACGGGUGAGUAACACGUAUCCAACCUGCCGAUAACUCGGGGAUAGCCUUUCGAAAGAAAGAUUAAUACCCGAUGGUAUAAUCAGACCGCAUGGUUUGAUUAUUAAAGAAUUUCGGUUAUCGAUGGGGAUGCGUUCCAUUAGGCAGUUGGUGAGGUAACGGCUCACCAAACCUUCGAUGGAUAGGGGUUCUGAGAGGAAGGUCCCCCACAUUGGAACUGAGACACGGUCCAA